AUUGAACGCUGGCGGCAGGCCUAACACAUGCAAGUCGAACGGUAACAGGAAGCAGCUUGCUGCUUCGCUGACGAGUGGCGGACGGGGGAGUAAUGUCUGGGAAGCUGCCUGAUGGAGGGGGAUAACUACUGGAAACGGUAGCUAAUACCGCAUAUGUCGCAAGACCAAAGAGGGGGACCUUCGGGCCUCUUGCCAUCGGAUGUGCCCAGAUGGGAUUAGCUUGUUGGUGGGGUAACGGCUCACCAAGGCGACGAUCCCUAGCUGGUCUGAGAGGAUGACCAGCCACACUGGAACUGAGACACGGUCCAGACUCCUACGGGAGGCAGCAGUGGGGAAUAUUGCACAAUGGGCGCAAGCCUGAUGCAGCCAUGCCGCGUGUAUGAAGAAGGCCUUCGGGUUGUAAAGUACUUUCAGCGGGGAGGAAGGGAGUAAAGUUAAUACCUUUGCUCAUUGACGUUACCCGCAGAAGAAGCACCGGCUAACUCCGUG
rnacentral:rRNA from 1 species